rnacentral:rRNA from 1 species
AGCGAACGCUGGCGGCAGGCUUAACACAUGCAAGUCGAGCGGGCACUUUCGGGUGUCAGCGGCGGACGGGUGAGUAACGCGUGGGAACGUGCCCUCUGGUUCGGAAUAACUCAGGGAAACUUGAGCUAAUACCGGAUACGCCCUUUUGGGGAAAGGCUUGCUGCCGGAGGAUCGGCCCGCGUCUGAUUAGCUAGUUGGUGAGGUAACGGCUCACCAAGGCGACGAUCAGUAGCUGGUCUGAGAGGAUGAUCAGCCACACGGGGACUGAGACACGGCCCAGACUCCAACGGGAGGCAGAAGGGGGGAAAAUUGGAAAAGGGGCGCAAGCCUGACCCAGCAAGGCCGGGUGAGGGAUGAAGGCUUUAGGGUUGAAAAGCUUUUUUAUCCGGGACGAAAAGGACGGUACCGGGGGAAUAAGCCCCGGCUAACUUCG